GUGUAGCCCAGUGGGUAAAGCGUUUGGCUUAUAACCAAAUAUUAAUAGUUCGAUUCCAUCCUGGAGCA